rnacentral:lncRNA from 10 species
AGAGGCUGUCGGACUCUGACUGCGCGGAGACCGCUGGACUCUGGUCGCGGCCUUAGUCCGCUGAUCCUCGCUUGGGUGCCCGCCCUUAGCGGCCCGGCGUUGAAUUCCGGGAAGUGGGAGCUUCAGGCUCGCUCCGUGCGGGUAUGGGCGCUAAUGUCACUUGGGAUGGUUGCGCAAGGACAUCGCGGCGGACACUGACAAGGAACCGGGGAGGAACGGGGGUGGGGAGAGACUGCGAUGGGACUCGGGAAGCCGGGAAGGGCCGCGCUGAAUAAGCCUAAGGGGCCGGGUCGCAAGGAGUGUCGGGUAGCACAGGCCUCGGCUCAGUCGGAGCGCCAGGCCUCAGGGUCCGGGCGGGGGCUGCUGCGUCACACCAGGCAGCCUGGGAACGCAACUGUUGGGCAACCGUGGUGGCCUCUCGCCACCUCUUACGCUUGGGCGAUCUGCGAUUGACGCAUCCUGGGAGCUGAUGUCCCGCACGGGCGGGGCGCCGGAGGAGGAGAGAAAAUAGAGACCCGGUUGUUGACAGCCUGUGAUGCCGCUUGAUUCAUGUGUGGGUGGCCUGGUUUAGAAAUGUACCACCCUUCCUUUCUAGGUUCCUCCCCGGAGGGCGGGGUGACGGGUGCGGCGCCGAAUCGCAACAAAAAACGCUGCUCGAGGGAUGUUAGUAACUGUCUCAGCUUAAGUUGCUGCCUUUUAGCUUACAGUUUGUAUCGUAACUGUAAUUGUGGAUCUUAGUUAAAUCCCUUCAGUGUGUUGGAAACAUAUUUUUAAGUGUAUUUUUGAAACAUACUUAGAGCAUUUUGAAAUGCUUUUUUGAAAGCGUUUUUUAAAUCAAAAUUCUGUUACACUUUAUUUUUUUCAGUCUGCAGAUGAACUUGACUCACUCAAGGUUAAUGAUUUUUGUUUUUUAUUUAUGUUUGUAGAGGCGGGGUUUUGUCAUGUUGCUAGGUUGGUGUUGAACUCCUGAGCUCGAGCGAUCCACCUGCCACUGCCUUCCAAAGUGCUGGAAUUACAGGCGUGAGCCACGGCGCCCGGUGGCCGAGGACAAAAAGAUAAGGGCCUCUUUGUAAGCUACUAAAGAAGCUGUCUGGCCUACACAGUAAGUUUUCACUUGUUUGUUAACAAGCUCUCAGAUUUUCAUUAACGUUUUGUAGGCCUUAAUGUAAUUUUAUAAUAGCUGGCCAAUUCCAUUGUUCUUGUAGAUAUUAUCACACACACACACUGAAUUUUUGCCCCAACAAGGGCAUUGCUCUGCAUCAGAACAUUCUCCCAAGUCACUCCUGUAAGUUGUUUUUUUUUUUUUUUUGAGACGGAGUCUUGCUCUGUAGCCCAAGCUGGAAUGCAGUGGCGUGAUCCCAGCCCCCUGCAAGCUCUGCCUCCCGGGUUCACGCCAUUCUCCUGCCUCAGCCUCCCGAGUAGCUGGGACUACAGGCGCCCGCCACAACGCCCGGCUAAUUUUUUGUAUUUUCAGUAGAGACAGGGUUUCACCAUGUUAGCCAGGAUGGUCUCGAUCUCCUGACCUCAUGAUCCACCCGCCUCGGCCUCCCAAAGUGCUGAGAUUACAGGUGUAACCCACCGCACCCGGCUACUCCUGUAAGUUUUAAUGACUGAGCCACCACGUUCUUCCAGGAACUAUCCAUGCUCCAGCAAUCACAUAUCCCAUUAACAGUGGGACAGUUCUGAUCUAACCCCAAGCCCCAUCUAUCCGUUUGUUUGAGUUUGUGGUAUAAUAUGAAAUAAUUUGGUCUUUGUCUCCAGUUCCUGUCACAGAGCUAAAACCCUUGGAAUUUCCUUGUUAUUCAUAAUAUCCCUCUCUUGAUCACAUCUGAGUUUAUGCUAAUGAGAUAAUUUAGGGUGGGGCCCCUAAAUAGCCUCAGGAUCAGGCCAGUUGCCAGAAAAACCAGGUGAUUACAGGAUGAGAGGAUUGGAACUUUUAACUACACCCAACAACCUCCAGGAAAGGGAGUGGGGCUGGAUGGAUGUCAAGCUCUAUAAAAACUCGGACAACAUGAUUUGAUGAACUUCCGGGUUGCUGAAGAUACAGAGAUGUUGGGAGGCUAGCACACCCAGAGACAGCAUGGCCGCUCUGUGCCUGCUUUCCUCCCCUUACCUCAUCCUAUCUAUCUUCAUCUGUCUGUUCAUGUUUAUCCUUUAUAAUAUCCUUCAUAAUAAACCAGCAAAUAUAAGUUGUUUACCUGAGUUCGGUGAGCCAACCUAGCAAAUUAAUUAAAUGCUGGAAGAAGGUUGUGGGAACCCUGAUUUGUAGCAGGUCAGAGUAUAGGUGACAACCUAAUACUUAAAUCUGAAGUGAAGGCAAUCUUGUGGGGCUGAACCCUCAAACUGUGGGAUCUGACAUUAUCUCCAGGUAAAUUGCCAGGUGGAUUACACUAGUCCAGGUAGAUAGUGUCAGAAUUGAAUUCAAUUAUAUAAUACCCAUUUGGUGUCCAGUGGAGAAUUGCUUAGUUUUGGGAAUAGCCCCCCACACAUCUGUUCACAGAAGUGUUCUGUGUUUAGUGUGAGAGUGGGAUUGUGGGAAACAGAAUGUGUUUUUUUUUCUUUUUUUACAGGGUUGCUGUAACAAAAUAACAUAAACUGGUUGGCUAAUAAAUAACAAAUUUAUUUCUCACAGUUCCAGAGGCUGGAAAGUUCAAGAUCAAAGAGCUGGCAAAUUUAGUGUCUGGUGAGGGCUGACUUCGUAAUAGAUGGCGUCAUCUCAUGUGCCCUCACAUAGCUGUUUUUUUUUUUUUUUUGAGAUGGAGUUACGCUCUUGUUACCUAGGCUGGAGUGCAAUGGCACAAUCUCGGGUCACUGCAACCUCCGCCUCCCGGGUUCAAGUGAUUCUCCUGCCUCAGCCUCCCGAGUAGCUGGGAUUAUAGGCAUGUGCCACCAUGCCCGGCUAAUUUUGUAUUUUUAGUAGAGACAGGGUUUCUCCAUGUUGCUCAGGCUGGUCUUGAACUCCCAACCUCAGGUAAUCAGCCCGCCUCAGCCUCCCAAAGUGCUGGGAUUACGGGCGUGAACCACCAUGCCCAGCAACCCUCACAUAGUUUAAGGGACAAACUAGCUCUCUGAGGCACUAAUGCCAAUCAUGAGGGCUAAUUACUUCCCAAAGGCCCCACCCACCUCCUAAUACUAUCACCUUGGAGGUUAGUAUUUGAACAUAUGAAUAUUGGAGAGACAUAAACAUUCAGACCACUAAUCCUUAUACCAACUGGUUCACUUUGGAUGUUCCAGGAAGGAGAAUAUAACAUUAACUCAGGAGUACAAGAAUACUGGAAAAAUGAUGGGGAAAAAAAGACACAGACUGUGGUGUAGAUCUAAAAAUCAGGCUGGGUUGGAUGGUUCAUGCCUGUAAUCCCAGUAUUUUGGGAGGCCGAGGCAGGUGGAUCACUUGAGGUCAGGAGUUCGAUACCAGUCUGGCCAACAUGGUGAAACCCUGUCUCUACUAAAAAAUACAAAAAUUAGCCAGGUGUGGUGGCUCAUGCCUGUAAUCCCAGCUACUCGGGAGUCUGAGGCAUGAGAAUCACCUGAGCCUGGGAGUCAGAGGUUGCAGUGAGCCGAGAUUGUGCCACUGCAUUUCAGUCUGGGCAACAGAGCGAGACUCUAAAACAAAUAAAUAAGUAAAUAUCUAGCAAAAUCUCAGCUAACCCAUUGUGGAACUCUGGGGAAAAUAUCGCUUGUUAGGGAAAUUCAACAUUGGACAGAAAUGACUAGACCCUCAUACCAUUGCCAUGUUCAGUCAUUGGCUGAGGGCUGCCAGAGAAGACGUUGCCUCAACUGGUAUGCUGUGGUAGAUCUUGACAGUGCUGCAGAUGGAGGCAGUUAGCUUAAUGGUAUUCAUUGCAGCUGAAUGGCAAGUUCUAUCUAAAAGGGAGAUGUUAGUGGUGUACCUCCUAUGACUGCCCCACUGAUCUAACCUGAGAAGGUUCAGGAGGUGCCUGCAACUAGUAGUCUAAGCAUUUGAUGAGGAAGGAGAGUAAGGCCAAAACAAGGCAGGUUGGUUGAAAGCUGAUGACGGAGCAGUUAUCCCAUUAGAUAUCCCCAACUCUUGUCACUAGGCAAAGGCCAGUUGAAAACUGGUUUUAUCAGUACACAUCCACACCUAUUCAUUUACAUAUUGCCUAUGGCUCCUUUUUAUUUUUUCAUUUACAUAUUAUCUAUACCUCCUUUUUUUAUUUUUAUUUUUUUCUUUCUGAGAUAGGGUCUUGUUUUGUCACCCAUGCUGGAGUGCGGUGGUGCCAUCACGGCUCACUACACUCUUGACCUUCUGGGCUCAAACUAUCCUCCUACCUCAGCUUCCCGAGUAGCUGGGACCACAGGCGCACGCCACCACUCCCGGCUAAUUUUUGUAUUUUUCUGUAGAGAUGGGGUUUUGCCAUGUUGCCCAGGAUGGUCUUGAACUCCUGAGGUCAACCAAUCCACCCACCUCGGCCUCCCAAAUUGCUGGGAUUAGAGGCAUGAGCUACUGCACCCAGCCUGGCUCCUUUUUUUACUAUGAUGCAGUGUUGAGCAAAUGCGAAAAUAUUUACUGCUUAGUCUUUUCCAGAAAAGCUUGCUGAAAAGUUUGCUGAUUCUCAAUCUAUGCUAUUGGGGUUAUUUACAUCUAUGCAUUGAGGUUAUUUGUAUCUAUUGUAUCUCCAUGGUAGAAUUACUAUAUAAUGGUGUGCUGCUGCUUAUCUCUUCCCAACUGCAUUCAGAGGAAUCAUGUUGGUAGCUUGAAAUUGGCUGUAAUGGGGGAAUUUUACCACAGAAGUUAGCAAAUGCUACAAUUCGGGACUUUUUCUUUUUGGACAGCUGAUUGUUAAACAUUGACCUGCAGCAUUUUUCGCUACAGGGUAUUACAGGCUGAAUUGUUUCCCCUCUCCAGAGGUAUAUGUUGAAGUGCCUACCCACAGUACCCCAGAAGGUGGGUCUUUAAAAAGGCAUUUAAGGCUAGGCACGGUGGCUCAUGCCUGUAUUCCCAGUACUUUGGGAGUCCGAAGCAGGCGAAUCACCUGAGGCAAGGAGUUUGAGAGUAGCCUGGCCAAUGUGGUGAAACCCCAUCUCUACUAAAAAUACAAAAAUUAGCUGUGUGUGGUGGCAUGCGCCUGUAAUCUCAGCUACUUGGGAGGCUGAGGUGGGAGGAUCACUUGAACCUAGGAGGCAGAGGUUGCAGUGAGCUGAGAUCACGCCACUGCACUCCAGCCUGGGUGACAAAGCGAGACUCUGUCUCAAAAAAAUAAAAAUUAAAAAGUCAUUUAAGUUAAAAUGAGGUCAUUAGGGUGGGCUCUAAUCCAGUAUGACUGGUGUCUUUAUAAGAAGAGGAAAUUUUUACAAACAGGUAUUGGGGAAGACCAUGUGGUAACACAAGAAGACAGUCAUCUACAAGCCAAGACAGAGGCCUCAGAAGAGAACAACCCUACUGAUACCUUGAUCUCAGACUUCUAGCCUCCAGAACUAUGAGAAAAUAAUUUCUGUCAUCUCACCUGCCUAUUCUGUGGUACUUUGCUAUUGUAGCCUUAGACUGAUAGAGUAAGUGACCUGAGAAAGUGUCAAAAGUUCCUGCAGAAGAAAUCGAUUGAAAUUACUUCCAAAGAGCUUUGGUAUAGGGCCAGGAAUAGUGGCUCAUGCCUAUAAUUUCAGCACUUUGGGAGGCUGCGAUGGGAGGAUCACUUAAUGCCAGAAGUUCAAGACCAGCCUGGGCAACAUAGUAAGACCCUGUCUCUAAUGUCAAUUUAAAAAACAAAUACACACAACAACAACAACAACAACAAACAAAAAAUGGCUUUGAAUAUUUACUGCAUGGUCUUUUCCAGAAAAAUUUGCACCUCACAGAAGUUUGCUAAUUUCUGUGGUAAAAAUUCCCCCACUACAGCCAGUUUCAGGCUACCAACAUGAUUUCUCUGGAUGCAGUUGAGGAUAAGCAGCAGCACACCAUUAUGUAGUAAUCCCACCACAGGGAUACAGUAGAUACAAUGCACAGAUGUAAAUAACCCCAAGAGCAUAGAUCAAGAGUCAGCAAAUAUACCUGAUUCUUUUUACCCCAACUGCAUUUUGAUGACAUUUAAUAAAUUUGUUGAGCACUCUAGGUACCAUGCAAGCCUUUUGGACUCUGUAAAGACCAGUUCCCCUAGGCAAUAAUCUUCAAGACUCUAGAAUUAGGGUUAUAUAAAGGCAGUACAGCUUUGUUCCCUCCCACCUGUACCCUGCCUUUUGUUGGCCUCAUUCCUAAGGUAAAGUGAUAGCUAGGUAAAAAGCAGAAGAUACAUACAGCUAAUGACAGUCUAAGGGAGAAUUUCAGGAAGGAUCCAGUAGGCCAGGUGAGUGACACCUGAGCUACUUUGUGUUUAAGAUAUACUCAUGUAGAAAGCCCUUGAGAGCUGGGUGCAGUGGCUCACGUGUGUAAUCACAGCACUUUGGAAGGCUGAGACAGGCGGAUCACCUGAGGUCAGGAGUUCGAGACCAGCCUGGCCAACAUCGUGAAACCCCGUCUCUACAACAAAUACAAAAAUUAGCUGGGUAUGGUGGCAGGUGCUUGUAAUCCCCGCUACUCCAGAGGCUGAGGUAGGAGAAUCAUUUGAACUUGGGAGGAGGCAGAGGUUGCAGUGAGCGGAGAUUGCGCCAUUGCACUCCAGCCUGGGCAACAGAGCGAGACUCCAUCUCAAGAAAAAAAAAAAGCCCUUGAGAGAAAGGGGCAAGUAAUAUGAAUGUACCACUCCCUAGGUAGUAUAAUCUUUGGCCUUAAAAGUUCUCUGUGACUUGACCUAGGGUGUUUUUAACAUGGAAAAGAGCAAACUUAUUGGGAAACUAAAUAGUCCCAAGACUUCAGGAGAAUAAAAUAAUCCCAGUGACCUUUUAUGCUGUUGUGGUGUGAAUAUCGCACCCCGAAUUAAUAUUUGAAAUUUAUUAGCCAAUGUGGUAAUAUAAAAUGUGGGGCUGUUCGAAGGUGAUUAAGGCCAUAAAAGGGGUUACGGAAGUGGAUUUUCUCUCUCCCACUCUUUUGCCAUGCAAGGACACAGCAUCCAUUCCCUUUUUUACCUUUCUGCCUUCUGCCAUGUGAGAAGGCCCUCACCAGACAUCAAAUGCCAGUGCCUUGAUCUCAGACUUUCCAGCCUUCAGAACUGUGAGGAAUAAAUUUCUAUUUUGUAUAAAUUACCCAGUCUGUGUUAUUUUGUUACAGCAACACAAAUGGACUAAGACAUAUACCAUUAGCACUUUUGGAACAUGAUUUACUUUACUGGCACGGUACAUAUAUAAAAUAAACUCUUUUAUCCUUUUGAAAAUCAAUAAAUAUGCAUUGAAUGCCUAUGUGUUUAUGUAGGUGUACACAGGCUAUAAUAGGAGAGCUCUAAGAUAUUUAAACAUUUAUUCUCACAUCAUUAGUUACUUGAUAGAGAGUAUAAAGGGCAGAAAGACUUGAAGUAGUGGGAGCAUAGCCACUGCUGAUUAAAGACAAAAAAUAAGAAAGUAGACAAUUAUUUGUCAGUUAAAAG